AUCGCUUCUCAACCUUUUGUCUAAGAUCAAGUGUUGUAUCUGUUCUUAUCAGUUUAAAAAAGUUAAACUGAGAAAACCUAAGAAGCUGAGAACUCCCAGACAGGGUCCAAGCCCCC
rnacentral:snRNA from 1 species